rnacentral:tRNA from 1 species
GCUCAGGUGGUGAAAUUGGCAGACACGCAUGAUUCAGGUUCAUGUGCCGAAAGGUAUGGGGGUUCAAGUCCCCCCCUGAGCACCA